CCAGCAGAACGACCCGCGAACCUGUGACACCACGCCGAGGGGUGGAGGAGGGGUGCGAGCCCCGAUCUCCCUCCCUCUUUGGGUCGUGUGGGCUGUCGUUUUUCCGCACGUCCGUUGCCCGGGCCCUCGGCACGUGGCACGGCGCUUGGGGGGCGGCAGCAUCGCAGACCCGACCAAACAACGAACCCGGCGCGAACGGCGCCAAGGAAAUCAAAAACGGAACGGGCGUGCCUUCGCUUCACCGUCGGUGUUGCGGGGCGUCGUCGAAACUCCGAUCUCAAAACGACUCUCGGCAACGGAUAUCUCGGCUCUCGCAUCGAUGAAGAACGUAGCGAAAUGCGAUACUUGGUGUGAAUUGCAGAAUCCCGUGAACCAUCGAGUCUUUGAACGCAAGUUGCGCCCUAGGCCAUUAGGCUGAGGGCACGCCUGCCUGGGCGUCACGCAUCGUGUCGCUCCCCCCAGCCACCCCAUGGGAUGGCCGGUUUGGGAGCGGAGAUUGGCCCCCCGUGUGUCGUAUGCGCACGCGGCCGGCCUAAAAGCUGGGCCCCCGGCGGUCGACGUCACGACGAGUGGUGGUUGAUACG
rnacentral:rRNA from 1 species